rnacentral:rRNA from 1 species
UAGGGAAUCUUCCGCAAUGGACGAAAUGUCUGACGGAGCAACGCCGCGUGAGUGAAGAAGGUUUUCGGAUCGUAAAACUCUGUUGUCAGAGAAGAACAAGUCGGAGAGUAACUGCUCCGGCCUUGACGGUAUCUGACCAGAAAGCCACGGCUAACUACGUG